rnacentral:rRNA from 1 species
GACGAACGCUGGCGGCGUGCCUAAUACAUGCAAGUUGAGCGAUGAAGAUUGGUGCUUGCACCAAUUUGAAGAGCAGCGAACGGGUGAGUAACGCGUGGGGAAUCUGCCUUUGAGCGGGGGACAACAUUUGGAAACGAAUGCUAAUACCGCAUAAUAACUUUAAACAUAAGUUUUAAGUUUGAAAGAUGCAAUUGCAUCACUCAAAGAUGAUCCCGCGUUGUAUUAGCUAGUUGGUGAGGUAAAGGCUCACCAAGGCGAUGAUACAUAGCCGACCUGAGAGGGGGAUCGGCCACAUUGGGACUGAGACACGGCCCAAACUCCUACGGGAGGCAGCAGUAGGGAAGCUUCGGCAAUGGACGAAAGUCUGACCGAGCAACGCCGCGUGAGUGAAGAAGGUUUUCGGAUCGUAAAACUCUGUUGGUAGAGAAGAACGUUGGUGAGAGUGGAAAGCUCAUCAAGUGACGGUAACUACCCAGAAAGGGACGGCUAACUACGUG